UGGGGAAUUUUCCGCAAUGGGCGAAAGCCUGACGGAGCAAUACCGCGUGAGGGAGGAAGGCUUUUGGGUUGUAAACCUCUUUUUUCAAGGAAGAAGCAAGUGACGGUACUUGAAGAAUCAGCAUCGGCUAACUCCGUGCCAGCAGCCGCGGUAAUACGGAGGAUGCAAGCGUUAUCCGGAAUCAUUGGGCGUAAAGCGUCCGCAGGUGGCUGUUCAAGUCUGCUGUCAAAGACAGAAGCUUAACUUCUGAAAGGCAGUGGAAACUGGAGAGCUAGAGUACGGUAGGGGUUGAGGGAAUUCCCAGUGUAGCGGUGAAAUGCGUAGAUAUUGGGAAGAACACCAGUGGCGAAGGCGCUCAACUGGGCCGUAACUGACACUCAGGGACGAAAGCUAGGGGAGCGAAAGGGAUUAGAUACCCCCGUAGUCC
rnacentral:rRNA from 1 species